UGGGGACUUUUGGUCAAUGGGCGAAAGCCUGAACCAGCAACGCCGCGUGCAGGAUGAAGGCCCUCGGGUCGUAAACUGCUGUCAGGAGGGAAGAACGGCGGUCCGGUCAAUACCCGGGCCGUGUGACGGUACCUCCGAAGGAUGCACCGGCUAACUCCGUGCCAGCAGGCGCGGUAAGACGGAGGGUGCAAGCGUUGUUCGGAAUUACUGGGCGUAAAGCGCGUGUAGGCGGCUUGGUAAGUCGGAUGUGAAAGCCCGGGGCUCAACCCCGGAACUGCAUCCGAAACUGCCUCGCUAGAGUCCCGGAGAGGAAGGCAGAAUUCCCAGUGUAGGGGUGAAAUCCGUAGAUAUUGGGAGGAAUACCAGUGGCGAAGGCGGCCUUCUGGACGGUGACUGACGCUGAGACGCGAAAGCGUGGGGAGCAAACAGGAUUAGAUACCCCUGUAGUCC
rnacentral:rRNA from 1 species